rnacentral:rRNA from 1 species
ACGAACGCUGGCGGCAUGCCUAACACAUGCAAGUCGAACGAGACCUUCGGGUCUAGUGGCGCACGGGUGCGUAACGCGUGGGAAUCUGCGCUUGGGUUCGGAAUAACUCGCCGAAAGGCGUGCUAAUACCGGAUGAUGACGUAAGUCCAAAGAUUUAUCGCCCAAGGAUGAGCCCGCGUUGGAUUAGCUAGUUGGUGAGGUAAAGGCUCACCAAGGCGACGAUCCAUAGCUGGUCUGAGAGGAUGAUCAGCCACACUGGGACUGAGACACGGCCCAGACUCCUACGGGAGGCAGCAGUGGGGAAUAUUGGACAAUGGGCGAAAGCCUGAUCCAGCAAUGCCGCGUGAGUGAUGAAGGCCUUAGGGUUGUAAAGCUCUUUUACCCGGGAUGAUAAUGACCGUACCGGGAGAAUAAGCUCCGGCUAACUCCGUG